GGGAGAAAAAAGAUGGGCCUAAUGGGCUUAUAAGUGUCUCUCCUAUCUAUCUUCUGAUAGCCCCGUCGAUAAGGGCCUCCCUUCCUCACCAAAUAUUGAAAUCUCUCUUAAUUUUUUUGAAAAAGUCCAAAUUACUCCCCUUAAGUAUAACUAAAAUGUGGAUAAACCUCUAAAAUAUUUUUUGAUUCCGUUUGCCCCAUAAACUAUACCAUUUGGUUCAAUUUACCCCUUAACACUAUUUGUUUUUUUUUCUCCAUGCACAGGUGGAACCUUAAGUUCAAAUUUUGCAAGAUGGUAGCAAACAUCACAGGACAUAUUAGAAAAAUAUAUAAUGAAUUUUUUAUCAUUAUUUGAUAGGUAGGAUAUUUAGUAAUAAUUUUUUCCUUGACAUACGAUUAUAUAAAAAAUGAUAAUGAAAAAUUCAUAAAAUAUUUUUUAAUAUAGAUUAUGAUGUCCACCACCAUGCAAAGUCUCGAAUUAAAAUUCACCUUGUGUAUGGGAAAAGAGAAGAAAUUGUAUUAUGGAAUAAAUUGAACCGAGUAGUAUAGUUUAGGGUAAAUUGAAAAAAAUAUAGUUUAACUACACUUAAAAAGUAAUUUCAACUUUUUCCUAAUUUUUUCGGGCCCCGCCCGCCCACCGUGCCGCCGCGCCGCCCAGACUCGCCCACCGUCUGCCGCGCCACCCUAACUCGCCGCCGUGCCUCCCCGCCCAUUUCGCCGCGGGUCCGCCCGCCGACGCGUAUCCACGCCGGCCCCGAAGCCUCCCGCCGCGCCCCGCCGCGCCGGACCACGCAGCUCCGGACGCCGCCCCGUCGCUGCACCUCCCCCGCCGCGGGGACCGCCGCCUGCUCCCUCCGUCGCGUCCUCUCGACGCCGCGCACUCUUGACAACUGCCUCAGCUCCGAUGCCUUCCAGCGUGCCCCGACGUCGAGCGGACCUCCUCAGGGUCUCCCGUCCAGGCUCAGGCGAUUGCAGGAGAGUGGGCUGCUGCACUCAUUGGAAGCUGGCGCAUUUUCCUGAAAGUUAUAUAUAUUGCUAGGCUUCUGAAGCGAGACAUGCGGCUUCGAUCCGGCCGUCACUUAGUCUCCCCACUGACGGUGCCACAGGGAGGUCACCAUCACCGCCAGCGCCUGCGCGGCUCAGAUGACAGGAUCGACAGCCUCCCUAAGGACCUGCUCCUCCAAGUGCUCGUCCGUCUCAAGCAUGCCGAAAGAGCUGCGUGCGUCGGAGCGGUCUGCCGUAGCUGGCAUGGCCUCUGGAUUGAGCUUCCUGAGUUAACUUUUGGGUUUGUCAAGCCCCGCAUGUUGGAAGCUGUGCUUGCCAAGGUCACCCAUCCCAGGCUUGACCUCCUCAACAUCACUGUGGAAGGUUAAACGGGGUGCCCAGGUCUCAUUGCUUCUCCGUGCUGCCACAAGGCUGGUGCCGGAGAAACUCAUGUUCCAUGUGUGGAACCACCUCACUUUGGAAGACGAUCCCAUUGAGCUGCCUUGCUUCGACCGCACAUCCUCCCUUGCUCUUGAAGUGAUGGGUUUCCAUCUUUUGCCUCCACUGUCCGGAGAGUUCACUGCACUCAAGAGCCUUUCCCUGAGCGAUUGCCGUGGCAUCGACAUCGGAGCCCUGCUCCCCCUCUGCCCAUCCUUGCGGGUCCUGAACAUGUAUCACCUCGUAGAGGUUGGCACAAUGAUGGUUCACUCAGCAUCGCUUGAGGAGCUUAACUUGGAAACCAAAAAAUACUGGCUUCACCCGAAUUGACAUUGCGGCUCUGGUGCUGAAGGAGUUGACAUUGAAGGGAGGAGUGCCGUGCCCAGUAAAUUGCCCCUGUGAACAGUCUAGCAACUGGAGAAUUGAAAACAUCUCUUUGCCUAAUCUUGAGGUUGUAGAAAUUCAUGGCUUGCAAGGAGAAGACGAUGAAGUUGAUUUCCUAGAACUUAUACUCCGAUCCGCACCAGCGCUUAGGAGAUUGACCAUGAGAAUUUCCAAUUCACCAAGUGAAGAUGGACAGAAGAUGUGCGGGAUUAUGAAGGAAUACCCUGACGUGGAAUAUCAUGUUCAUAGCCCUUAGAAUGUUCAUGAAGUUAACAACUGGUGACAUCCUUGUAAUGUAGUCUCAUGCUGCUAUGUUUUGUUGAGCAUUCGUCUAUGUGAGUUGAUGGGUCAUAAAUUUGGUGGUGGUUAGAACGUGUCAUUACCUAAAUUUGAGAUCUCAUAAAGGUGCCUUUUUCCA